rnacentral:rRNA from 1 species
UACGUAGGGGGCAAGCGUUGUCCGGAGUUACUGGGCGUAAAGCGCACGCAGGCGGUCGAUUAAGUUUGGAGUGACAGUUGGUGGCUUAACUGCCAAAGUGCUUUGAAAACUGAUCGACUUGAGGGCUUCAGAGGGACACGGAAUUCCGGGUGGAGUGGUGAAAUGCGUAGAGAUCCGGAGGAACACCGAAGGCGAAGGCAGUGUCCUGGGGAGUACCUGACGCUCAGGUGCGAAAGCCAGGGGAGCGAACGG